ACGAACCGUGCGAACGUUAUUCGGAAUCACUGGGCUUAAAGGGUACGUAGGCGGUCUUGCAAGUGGGGUGUGAAAUCCCUCGGCUCAACCGGGGAACUGCGCUCCAAACUGCAAGACUUGAGGGAGAUAGAGGUGAGCGGAACUGAUGGUGGAGCGGUGAAAUGCGUUGAGAUCAUCAGGAACACCAGAGGCGAAGGCGGCUCACUGGGUCUCUUCUGACGCUGAGGUACGAAAGCUAGGGUAGCGAACGGGAUUAGAUACCCCGGUAGUCCUAGCUGUAAACGAUGAGCACUGGGUCGGAGGCCCUUCCACAGGCUUCCGGUCGUAGCGAAAGUGUUAAGUGCUCCGCCUGGGGAGUAUGGUCGCAAGGCUG
rnacentral:rRNA from 1 species